GCUCGGAUGGCGGAAUAGGCAGACGCAGUGGACUCAAAAUCCACCGAUCGCAAGGUCGUGUGAGUUCGACUCUCACUCCGAGCA
rnacentral:tRNA from 1 species